GGACUACGUGGGUAUCUAAUCCGGUUCGCGCCCCUAGCUUUCGUUACUCACCGUCAAGAUCGUUCCAGUUAGACGCCUUCGCCACAGGUGGUCCUCCCAGGAUUAUAGGAUUUCACCCCUACCCCGGUAGUACCUCUAACCUCUCCCGACUUCAAGUCUGACAGUAUCUUCAGCAAUUCUUAUAGUUAAGCUACAAGCUUUCACCAAAGACUUAUCAAACCGGCUACGAACGCUUUAGGCCCAAUAAAAACAGCUACCACUUGAGCUGCCGGUGUUACCGCGGCGGCUGGCACCGGUCUUGCCCAGCUCUUAUUCUAAAAGCUUUUUACACUAAUGAAAAGUUAUUCUGUUAAGAAUAACACUUGGGAUCCCCCCGUCGCACUUGCGUACAUUGCGGAGGUUUCGCGCCUGCUGCCCCCCGUAGG
rnacentral:rRNA from 1 species